UCCCGCUUGUCACGGGCAGUUUCUCUAGAGUUCCCGACAUUACUCGCUGGCAACUAGAAAUGAGGGUUGCGCUCGUUGCGGGACUUAACCCAACAUCUCACGACACGAGCUGACGACAGCCAUGCAACACCUGUCUCCUCCCCGGCCGAACCGAAGGGCUUCCAUUACAAAGCCCAUAAGAGGGAUGUCAAAAGUUGGUAAGGUUUUUCGCGUAGCAUCGAAUUAAACCACAUGCUCCACCGCUUGUGCGGGUCCCCGUCAAUUCCUUUGAGUUUUAAUCUUGCGACCGUACUCCCCAGGCGGAGUGCUUAACGUGUUAACUGUGUCACUGGAAAAAUCCAACAACUAGCACUCAUCGUUUACGGCGUGGACUAC
rnacentral:misc_RNA from 1 species